AAUAAAACUAAACCCUAGUUUUCUUUAAAAUAAAAUAAAAUGAAAUAUAUAAAAAUGAAAUAUAUAAAAAUGAAAUAAAUAAUGGAAAAAAAGGAAAAGGAAAUAUAAAAAAAGAAAAUAAAAAUAGAUCAUGAGUUACUACGUGAUUCAAACAUGAUAACCAACAAAUGAACAACACUUGGAAAGGUUUAAAAUUAUUUUUAAAAAAGCAUGUUAAGAAGCCAACAUUCAGGAACAUAUUUUAAUUUCUAAAAUUAACAAAAUAAACUCUUCCUCUAUCAAACAAAAUACAGUAAACAAAAACUUUCAAUUCUCAUGCUUUCUA
rnacentral:lncRNA from 1 species